CGCCCCCCGAGGUGCUCGGGCGCCGCGGCGGAGGGGGUCUUGAGUCCCUGUUGCUCUGACCGACGCGAGCGGUUGGGGGGCUGGCUCCCUGCUUGACCGCGGCCGGGUCGAGGGUCCGAGGGGUCGCCCGGCGCGCCGUUUCUUGCUUCUGCCGAGUUCUUUGAGGUGAACAGGCCCGCGGGCCUCGAGCGGCCGGCGAGACGGUGCUGUGCGUGGAGGGGGCGCGGCGUCCCAGAGUCGCGGCGGCGAACGCACGGUGAACCCGCGCCGGUGGACCAGCCGCCCGCCGGGCUGUGCAGGCGGCUUCCGCUCACCGUCAGGGCGGGCGUCUCCAGUCUCCUUUGUUCUCGCUCCCUUUCACGAGCAAUUGAGGGCCUUGCGUUCUUUGAUCUUUUGAGAAUAUGCUGACUUCUAAUAUUUAAGUAGUAACGGGCGCGUGUUACGGAAUUUUCAGAUUUUUGCUUGUGUAGCAGAGUGAUCGAUUAGUUGUGAUUAGCUUUAAUAGCUUCGGAAGAAAACUCUCCGCAUAAUGAAAGAUUUAAAAACCUUCAGUUAUUUUUUUCACCCAUGUUCCGUGGACUCCUGGAUGGAGGCACCUGCCUGGUCUUGAAGGGGUACCUGCCAGGAGGCAAGGCUUCCAGACUGUGGGGGCUCCUUGAAGUGUGUUCUGGAUGAUUGGGGACACCAGGGCCAUCCUCAGUGCCACAGAAUUUGUCCAGUGCACCCAGGUGACCACAUGAUUGCUGUUUUCCCAGGAAUAAAGCACCCCAUUGAAGAAGCGGACAUAAUUCAGACGGUUUGAAAUGCUAUGGAGAAGUGGGGGGAACAUGGAACUUGGAAAUUAGCCGAGUUGCAGCUGUUAAGACACAGUGAAGCUCUGGGAGGUAUUUUCCUGUUUGAGGUGGAUCUGUUCUCGCUUCCAGAGGACAGCAGAGGAGGGGAAGCUGCUUGGAAAUAUUUUCAGGGACAUCGUUUUGACUGGUUUGCUGAAAAAGAGGUACCAUGAUGCAUUUUAAUAUCUAAAUUGAUUUUAAAAAGGAAAAAAGGCAAGAGAAUGACAAGCAUAAAUGCCAUAGUAUUUACUGCUUUUGAUCAUCUUGGGCUGUUUGGCACCAAUUAAACCAAAGCUCUAUAAUCAUGA